rnacentral:rRNA from 1 species
GACGAACCACACAAACGUUAUUCGGAAUUACUGGGCUUAAAGGGUGCGUAGGCGGCGCAGAAAGUAGGGUGUGAAAUCCCUCGGCUCAACCGAGGAACUGCGCCCUAAACUACUGUGCUCGAGGGAGGUAGAGGUGAGCGGAACUUAGGGUGGAGCGGUGAAAUGCGUUGAUAUCCUAAGGAACACCGGUGGCGAAGGCGGUUCUCUGGGCCUUACCUGACGCUGAGGAGCGAAAGCGUGGGGAGCGAACAGG